rnacentral:rRNA from 1 species
GACGAACGCUGGCGGCGUGCCUAAUACAUGCAAGUUGAGCGAUGAAGAUUGGUGCUUGCACCAAUUUGAAGAGCAGCGAACGGGUGAGUAACGCGUGGGGAAUCUGCCUUUGAGCGGGGGACAACAUUUGGAAACGAAUGCUAAUACCGCAUAACAACUUUAAACAUAAGUUUUAAGUUUGAAAGAUGCAAUUGCAUCACUCAAAGAUGAUCCCGCGUUGUAUUAGCUAGUUGGUGAGGUAAAGGCUCACCAAGGCGAUGAUACAUAGCCGACCUGAGAGGGUGGUCGGCCACAUUGGGACUGGGGAACGGGCCAAACUCCUUCGGGAGGGAGCAGGAGGGGAUCUUCCGCAAAGGGAGGAAGGCUGAACGAGCAACGCCGCGUGAGUGAAGGAGGGUUUCGGGUCGGAAAACUCCGUUGGUUGAGAAGGACGUUGGUGAGGGUGGAAAGCUCAUUAAGUGACGGUAACUAACCAGAAAGGGACGGCUAACUACGUG